UGUAAUUGAUGGAAGUAAAGAGGAUAGCUUAAGAUAUGCUUAUUCAAAAGAAACAGUAGCAAAUCACUGAACUUGAUAGCGGACUAUAAGGAUAUAUUGAGAUUAAUUACCAGGAGGCAAGUGAGCUCAUUAUCUAGUAGUGGUGAGGAGGAGGAGGUGAGGAGUAGAUGUAAGCCGGUGGAGUGUGAACGGGAGGAGUAGGAGGCUUGUAAGGCUUCGUUGGUGGUGGUGGUGGUGGUGGUGGUGACUUGUAGUGGUAUGGAAUGUGGGGUGGAGAGUAGACUGGAGGAGGAGGAGAAGGCGGUGGUGGAGACUUGUAGUGGUAAGGCGGUGACUUGGGAGGGUAGUGGGGGUGCUUAGGUGGUGAGUACACUGGUGGUGUUGGGGAUGGUGGUGGCUUAGGAGGGUAAUGGGGGUGCUUGGGUGGUGAGUACUUGGGUGGUGUUGGAGAGGGUGGUGACUUGGGAGGGUAGUGAGGAUGCUUGGGUGGUGAGUACACUGGUGGUGUUGGUGAGGGUGGUGACUUGGGAGGGUAAUGAGGGUGCUUGGGUGGUGAGUAGACCGGUGUCUUAGGUGGUGACUUGGGGGGGUAGUAGGGGUGGUGAGGUGGUGAGUAGACUGGCGUUGGUGGUGGAGGAGACUUGUAGUGGUAUGGCUUCUUUGGUGGUGGUGGUGAGUGAUGUGGGUGGUAGGGCUUCUUGUGUGGUGGCGGGGGUGGUGGAGACUUGUAGUGGUAAGGCUUCUUCGGUGGUGGUGGAGGUGGUGGAGACUUGUAGUGGUAUGGCUUCUUUGGUGGUGGUGGUGAGUGGUGUGGAUGGUAGGGCUUCUUGUGUGGUGGGGGUGGUGGAGGAGACUUGUAAUGGUAAGGGACCUUCGGUGGUGGCGGUGAUGGAGGAGGAGGAGACUUGUAGUGGUAAGGCACCUUAGGUGGUGGUGGUGAUGGAGGAGGAGGAGACUUGUAGUGGUAUGGCACCUUUGGUGGUGGUGGUGACGGAGGUGGUGGAGAUUUGUAGUGGUAGACAGGUGUCUUUGGUGGCGGGUACACCGGAGGCUUGGGAGGUGACUUGGGAGGGUAAUGUGGGUGCUUAGGAGGAGAGUACACCGGAGGCUUAGGUGGUGACUUUGGUGGGUAAUGGGGAUGCUUAGGCGGCGAGUACACCGGUGGUGUGGGUGAGGGUGGUGACUUUGGUGGGUAAUGAGGAUGCUUUGGUGGAGAGUACACCGGAGGCUUAGGCGGUGACUUGGGAGGAUAGUAAGGAUGAUGGGGUGGUGCGUAGUGCACUGGUGGCGGAGGCGGCGGUGGUGACUUGUAGUGGUAAGGAG
rnacentral:lncRNA from 1 species